AUUGAACGCUGGCGGCAGGCCUAACACAUGCAAGUCGAACGAGUGGCGGACGGGUGAGUAAUGUCUGGGAAACUGCCUGAUGGAGGGGGAUAACUACUGGAAACGGUAGCUAAUACCGCAUACCAUCAGAUGUGCCCAGAUGGGAUUAGCUUGUUGGUGGGGUAACGGCUCACCAAGGCGACGAUCCCUAGCUGGUCUGAGAGGAUGACCAGCCCCACUGGAACGGGAGAACGGUCCAGACGCCAACGGGGGGCAGGAGUGGGGAAUAUUGCACAAUGGGCGCAAGCCUGAUGCAGCCAUGCCGCGUGUAUGAAGAAGGCCUUCGGGUUGUAAAGUACUUUCAGCGGGGAGGCGUUACCCGCCGAAGAAACACCGGCUAAAUCCGUGCCAGCCGCCGCGGUAAUAC
rnacentral:rRNA from 1 species